GUUGAACGCUGGCGGAAUGCUUUACACAUGCAAGUCGAACGGCAGCACGGAGAGCUUGCUCUCUGGUGGCGAGUGGCGAACGGGUGAGUAAUAUAUCGGAACGUGUCCAAUAAUGGGGGAUAACGAGUCGAAAGAUUCGCUAAUACCGCAUACGCCCUACGGGGGAAAGCAGGGGAUCGUAAGACCUUGCGUUAAUGGAGCGGCCGAUAUCUGAUUAGCUUGUUGGUGAGGUAAAGGCUCACCAAGGCGACGAUCAGUAGCUGGUUUGAGAGAACGACCAGCCACACUGGAACUGAGACACGGUCCAGACUCCUACGGGAGGCAGCAGUGGGGAAUUUUGGACAAUGGGGGCAACCCUGAUCCAGCCAUUCCGCGUGAGUGAAGAAGGCCUUCGGGUUGUAAAGCUCUUUCGCAAGGGAAGAAAACUUAUGAUCGAAUAAAUCAUGAGGUUGACGGUACCUUGAUAAGAAGCACCGGCUAACUACGUGCCAGCAGCCGCGGUAAUACGUAGGGUGCGAGCGUUAAUCGGAAUUACUGGGCGUAAAGCGUGCGCAGGCGGUUUUGUAAGUCGGAUGUGAAAUCCCCGGGCUCAACCUGGGAACUGCGUUCGAAACUGCAAGGCUAGAGUGUGUCAGAGGGGGGUAGAAUUCCACGUGUAGCAGUGAAAUGCGUAGAGAUGUGGAGGAAUACCAAUGGCGAAGGCAGCCCCCUGGGAUAACACUGACGCUCAUGCACGAAAGCGUGGGGAGCAAACAGGAUUAGAUACCCUGGUAGUCCACGCCCUAAACGAUGUCAACUAGUUGUUGGUAGAGUAAAAUCUAUGAGUAACGUAGCUAACGCGUUAAGUGUUCCGCCUGGGGAGUACGCACGCAAGUGUGAAACUCAAAGGAAUUGACGGGGGCCCGCACAAGCGGUGGAGUAUGUGGUUUAAUUCGAUGCAACGCGAAGAACCUUACCAGGGUUUGACAUCCUGCGAAUCCCUUGGAAACGAGGGAGUGCCUUCGGGAGCGCAGUGACAGGUGGUGCAUGGCUGUCGUCAGCUCGUGUCGUGAGAUGUUGGGUUAAGUCCCGCAACGAGCGCAACCCACGUUUUUAGUUGCCAGCAUUUAGUUGGGCACUCUAGAAAGACUGCCGGUGAUAAACCGGAGGAAGGUGUGGAUGACGUCAAGUCAUCAUGCCCCUUACAUCCUGGGCUACACACGUACUACAAUGCUACGGACAAAGGGCAGCAAACUCGCGAGAGCUAGCAAAUCCCAUAAACCGUGGCUCAGUUCAGAUCGUAGGCUGCAACUCGCCUACGUGAAGGCGGAAUCGCUAGUAAUCGCAGGUCAGCAUACUGCGGUGAAUACGUUCCCGGGCCUUGUACACACCGCCCGUCACACCAUGGAAGUUGGCCACGCCCGAAGUCGUUACUCCAACCCUUGU
rnacentral:rRNA from 1 species